GUGAGGAAUAUUGCGCAAUGGAGGCAACUCUGACGCAGCCAUGCCGCGUGCAGGAAGAAGGCGCUACGCGUUGUAAACUGCUUUUAACCGGGAAGAAACCCCAGGACGUGUCCUGGGUUGACGGUACCGGAGGAAUAAGCACCGGCUAACUUCGUGCCAGCAGCCGCGGUAAUACGAAGGGUGCAAGCGUUAUCCGGAUUCAUUGGGUUUAAAGGGUGCGUAGGCGGGGCGUUAAGUCAGUGGUGAAAUCCUGCAGCUUAACUGUAGACUUGCCAUUGAUACUGGCGCUCUUGAGUGCGCUUGAAGUGGGCGGAAUGUGCCGUGUAGCGGUGAAAUGCUUAGAGAUGGCACAGAACACCAAUUGCGAAGGCAGCUCACUAAGGCGAUACUGACGCUGAGGCACGAAAGCGUGGGGAUCGAACAGGAUUAGAAACCCUGGUAGUCC
rnacentral:rRNA from 1 species